rnacentral:rRNA from 1 species
AUGCCAUGGAAGGUCUCUCUUGUUCUCUGUUUCAUUCAUGGUCAUGAUGAUCUAGGUUUAGCUAGGAAUCUGCUACUUUUAGGCUUAACCUAUUGUUCAUGGAUGAUCUCUUCUCCUUCUGCAGCAGCAGCAGGAUGGAUUUGGCACAGCGGAGAUUGGCCUCCGCGCCGACGUCGGCCACAAAUUUGCCUGCGUGCUACAGUGGAAGCUUGGAACAAAGAAAGAGGUAAACUGAAGCCUGGAAAAGGCAAGAAGGUAGCCUGCUUUGAUUUGCAUACAUCUCAGGCUGUGGAGCUCUAG